ensembl:lncRNA
GUCAUUGGAUUUAGGUAGUUGUGUGAGAAAAAUACGAAAUUCCCUUACAUUGAUGACUUUUUGCAAAUCCUAUCAUUUUACCACGUUGAUUUUAAACAUUUUAGGCAAGUUAAACCAUUUAGGUAUACAGCUCUCUCCAUCAUAAUCUUGGGAUGGGGGUAAAUAACAGUGAUUCGCUUAAAAGGGGGAGAAUCUGAGCUUUCCAACCAUGCCAGAAAUAUUACUAUAUUCUAAUAUUCAGCAAAUUAAUAUUUCCAAUCAGAAAUAAACAACUGCACUUCAUUUGCGGACCGCGAGAGUAGCAACAUAGAUGAAUUGCAGCGCACAUGGGAAAAUAGAGAUUCUGAUAUGAUCAAAGCUAAAGUAGCCAAGAUGAAAGUACAAGAGUAAACAUGAUUGUUUCUAGUUUAGUUCGUCACAAGUGAAAUGUCCUGACUGGCUGCGCAUCAGUUCAAAAGAUUGACGAGCGACUGAAGUGACCGCUCAGGAGCUGUGUCAGCCUAAUCAGACAACCAACUGAAAGAAGUUAAUUCUGCCAAUGAGAGGAUUGCAUGACAUAUCCUGCAUGCUUGCUUAUGAUUGGACAAAAUAGAUGAAAAAAGGAGCUUCAUGUCAAAUUGAAUGUCCGUUAGUCUCUCAUAUGGAAUUCCUGUCAUCACAUUUUCGUUGACUAAAAUAGAAAUUAAUUUGUCGCAGUUACCGUUUUUUUUCAUGUCAUUUUUUUAUUAUCGUCAUUCGUUUUUGUCAGGAAAAAUAGCAGGGCAGCCAGCUCUGCAUGUCCCCUACAGGCCGCCAGCGUCAGCGGAGACACAGAAGAGUCAGCAGGGAGGGAGCAGAGGCACACCUUUGCUGAUUAGAAACUGUACAGUACUCUGGCUGCAUUCAUCACCUCCCUCCGAUUCAUGUUCCUGAAAGACGAACAGGAAGACAGACUGAAAGACAGGACCAGUUGCACCCAUGGGCUGGUAUGAGAUGAGGUGAGCGAUGCCAUAAAUACCUUUGUUUGGGAUCUUUGUUUCCACCCCGGAGGACAAGAGACGGUGCACUUCACUGUUCAUCCAUGCUGGCUGUGUUUGUCCAAGUUAGUCGAACUUUGGGUAAGCUAACUUUUGUUGGUUGGUCUGUGAAUGUUUUACCGCUUGUUAAAGUAUACGACAGCCAUGUAAAACAAUGAUUUGUGUUUCAGUGACGUGUUCGGCGCAGGUUUGAAACGCGAUCAACGCUGUCUGCGAGACGCAGCAUUGAAACCGUUUUGUUGGCUGUGUAGGCCUGGAGAGUUAGCGAUAAGUGAAUUCGUCCAUAGUUGCCAAUAUAUCUUGGCUAAGUAGAAAGGGUUGGAAGCAAUUUUUCAACUAACCAGGGCCUCGUUUCCCAGAGCCUUUGUAGCGUUAAUAUCACCAUUAGAACCUUCUUACGAUGUAGCUUUAGUAGCCCAGGUGUUUCCCAGAGCCUUUGUAGCGUUAAUAUCACCGUUAGAACCUUCUUACGAUGUAGCNUUUAGUAGCCCAGGUGUUUCCCAGAGCCUUUGUAGCGUUAAUAUCACCGUUAGAACCUUCUUACGAUGUAGCUUUAGUAGCCCAGGUGUUUCCCAUAGCCUUCGUUAGUAAAGCAGCUCUGAAAAACCUUUGCACAUCUCUGAGUGAUCCAGACCACUCGUGGAGCAGCCAAGGUGCACCGUUAGAUGCUUUUUUUGCCAUUCCGCAUCACUGUACUCAUAGAGGAUCUCCGCUAAACAUAGAAUCAACAUGUUGUUUCUAUCUGUCUGACUGCGACUGUCGCUAACUUUAGAACGAAGUUGACUACAAAUACAAAGUAUCCAAAGUAUUUGCAAUUGUUACAAACAAGUGAAGGAUAAAUGAAUGCUUCAAAUGAAAACCGAGAUGACUGCAUUAAAAGAUAUAUAGGCUGCAUGGGCCCAUAUAGGCUAGUUCAGUUAUACUGAAAUCUAUUUCAUGUUCAGUCAAUGGAGUUCUAUUUUGCGACUAGGCUACUGUCUGUAAAAACAUGUUUUUGCCUCAAUGUGUUUCAUGAUAUGUGACAACAUGUGCGCAAUGACAUACCCAAUCUGUGAUUUUGCGCAUUAUUAUUAGGGAAGCAUAAUGAACCACCUCAAUAGCCUUUUUGCAGACAAAAGUGGUAAUCUCUCUCUAGGAGCUGAUCCGUCAUCACUAUUGUGGAAUAAUUCUAAUGUUAAGGUAAGAUUUGAAUGGACAAAGCUGACCCGAGAGCAGCGCUGCCUUUUUUAAAAUCCUAUCAGUAAUGACACAUGGUCUAACGACGCACUUAGUGAACGUUCUCUACGUCCUUGUUUGGGGAAACACUUAAAAAGCUGGCUCAUAAAUAACGAUGCAUCUGGUACGAUCAUCGUAAUGCUUAAGUUACAUCGGAACUGGGAAACGAGGACCUACUUUCUUCGUUCGGRAGAAAGGUGUAUCUUAUCAAUGUCCAUGUUCAGUUGCAGGUGGUUCUCCAAAAACCAGAGAAGAUUCAGAAAGAUAGUAAAAAUCGAAGUUU